ensembl:lncRNA
AUCAUUUUUAAAAAGUAAAAUAGUUCACUAGGCUUUGGGUGUGUUUCUCUUUAAUUAGUUUGAUGAGCACAAAGUCUGAGGCCUUGUCAAAUACCCAGUAUUAACUUUGGAUACUGACCCAGAAGUGGAGCAUUGCAGAGGUAAGAGCAUGGGCAGGAGAAAAUCAGUAAGAUGUUUCCUGUAAAAGCCUUUUGCCAGACAAGAGGAAUCAUUACCACGAUGAUACUUCUAAUUAUAAUGUCAUUAGGGCACCACUGCAGGUUCCUAUGGCGCAUGAAGUUUUUCAGCAUCUUGAUCCAAAAUGGGCAAAAUAUAGGCAUUAACCCUUUCACUGGAAGUAGACUUGAAUAUCUAGGCAAGCUGAAAGAACACAACUUAUUUUGAAGUUAAGUCAUAGUAUUGCUGAGUGUUCUGGAAAAUUUAGCAGUUGUAAAGAAUACUGAAGAGUAAUUCCCCUGAUCCUUCUGCAUUCAUGCCGGAUGUCACAGAUGGACAAUUGAUGAUAUGUGUUUCUCAAGACACCAAAAAGGUAAAGAUAAUGUACUUUGUUGCUGAUCUAAUUUUUGUCUGACUGGAAAACAGGAGGCGAAGUUUCUGGCACAAAGUUGUUGCCCAAACCUUUGAAGAAUAGCCAAGAGCAGAUAACAAACAGGCCUACAGACAAUAUUGCUCAAAGUCACAUUCAACUCCUUAAGCAGCUGUUCAAUCUGUGAAGUGAAAAAUUCUUCUAUUUUUGUGUAAUUUUCAAACUGCUGAUGAUACUAUAACAUAUUCUCUCGGCUUUUCUCUUUGUUUAGGCAGCCUGGAUUUAUACCUUCAAAUCUUGGCUCUAGGAUGGUUCCAAAAGCACAAUCAUGCAUGCAGAUACCACCAAACAUGUCAAAAAUGUUAUGCUAUUAAAUGCUAUGAUAAAACCUUCUACUUAGUGCUACAGUGCUUCUAGAAUUUGUCUUACAGGUCCAAGUUGAUCUUGCCUGUAACUGACAUGUAAAGGAACGUUUCAUGGCUUUGCGCAGUGCUGACACUGUGUUUGUGUUGCUCUGGACUGAGUCUAGCUCCUGGUUUGCUCUUCAGGAGUCAGACAGUUAAACCACAAGCCAACUCUGCCACUCUGGAACAAAAUAACAUCCUCUUCAGUGUUUCAGGAUUUACAGAAUGUUAAAUGGGCACAGCGUUCCCCCAGAAUCCCAACCCAGUAGGGUGUUCCCAGGCAGGGGCUACUCCAAGCUUAGGCGUGCAUAGGAGAUCCCAGAUUAGAAGCCUACUGCCAGAGAUACCUUGAGGAAGGGGAUUUUGAGCACUGCGUUAUGCCUUAGGCAGACAGCGUGAAUGAUGGGAUGUCCAGUUUUCCAAUGGACAAAAUUGCACAGGGCAGGUAGAUCAGAGUAACAGAUACCAUGACAACCAAAUACGUUCAAAGCAAAAGGACAAAAGACAAGAGAGGAAUUUUAAAGGGGGAGGAGGCAGCAAUAACGUUAUUAAUAUAUCCCUGUGUUCUGAAGGAGUGGCUUUUUUUGUGAAACUCAGCAAGUUGUGACCCUGAGCAGUGCCACUGCCGUAGCGCAAUCUGCGUGGUACAAAGUUGGGAUGUGGCAUGAAGAUUUUGUGAAUUCCAGAAGCUCCUCUUUGAUGACUAAGUAGUUAUUAGCUCUUUGAGACUGAGUACCAUUUGGGUAAUUGGCAAGUGGACUGUGACCUGAAGGAUUGAUAAACUGGAGGGAAAUCAUUCAAAAUUCUUUUCAGUUUUCCUCCAUACUGCUUUUGUUUCAUGUUCAGACAACUCAAUCUAAAACAUGAAACGUUAUUUUCAGAAGAGCAAUCAUAAUUGGCAUAAUUUGAAGAAAAAAAAAACUAGUAGCACUUGCUAAUAUGGGCAGAAUUCAAUUAAUAAAACACCACAUACUGUGGCUGGUUUGUUUCUAAAAUACACUUAUGUAAUUUAAAAGACAAAUGUGUUGUCUGUGGUGGUCAUUAUUUUAAAGACAGCAGGGUUUAUCCCUUACAUCCCAUUUUUUAAUCUGUGGUUUUAUUGACACUUUGAAAGCUAACAGCCUAGCAGGUUGUUCCUAGGUAGGAAUUCUACCCAAAAGAACAGUUUGUAGAACUGUACUCAUUUAACUGACAUUACAAAGUUGUCCUGCACAUGCAAAAAAAGAACUUUUCACAUGAUGUGAGAAAGACUCUACACCUGUGAUAAUGAAGAACACUUCCCAUUAGCAAUGUAAGUAUGUAGAUUUGUCGUUACUUAUUCAGAAAUCAGCCUGCAGGCCCAAGAUGACCUGCUCUUCACCUCACCAAUCCCGCUCCUGCUGCAUCUCACAUGAGGUAGGUGCACUUCUAUUUCAACCCUAAAAGUGGGACUGUUCAUCUUUCUGAAUCAGCUACAUGGGCUGAGUCCUUCUCUUCCACUGCACCAAAUCCUUGCAGGGACGUGUUUUCAGGUGAGCUUUAUUAUUCAGUGUGCACCUUUAUAAGGUUCUGGAAGGCAAAGCUCUCAGGCCACCUUACUCGUUUUUGCAUAGUACCAAAGAGUGUUUUUUGAAAGCCUUUUAGGAUCAGCUUUUUUCUUGGAGUGGUGUCAAUCAUCAAGAAUUUUUAAAUAUUUUACCUAACCAACUACUACUUAUUCCUUUUGAAAGAAAAUCAAAUGAUUACAUGCAACCCUGGCCAUUUUGCGCUCGCAUAUCCCUACCUUAUCUCUGCUCCAUAAAGCACCCAGAAGAUGUGUGUGGGCUCUGCUCUGCUCCUCCCUUUCACUGCCCACUGAGGGACUUCAAGCAUUAAAGAGCUGUCCUGGUGCACACCCACCUCCGGACAUGGAGAGGAAAUCCCAACUAUCUCUCCCUCUCACCACUGCUCACCUUUAUAAACUGAUUUCUGCCUUCUUCCUGGGCUACAAAAUGACAGCGCUUACUAUCUGUCCAGUCGUCUGUUCCUGUUUAGCCAGUAAGUGGAACAUUUCCUAUGACUUUCUUCAGAUAAUGAUCCUCUUUUUCCACAUCUAGGGGGCCUCUAUUGUAUAUAAUCUCUGCAAGAUAAGAGCUUAAUAAAUAACUCUUUUUUAUAGUAUUUUUUUUUUUUAAUUCUGUACGUCUAGAACACCUGCUCUGCUGCUGCUUGUAGAUUUUUAGGUAAUUUGACUUUAAUUUUUAUAUAAAGAGGAGAUAUGAAACUUCCUCCUGACAUAAUUAGAAAACUAAAAUGUAAGUUUGCUCGCUGAAAACUAUAUCUUGGAGUUCUUUUGCAAUACAAGUUAAUUAACUGGAUUUAGAUAUUUGCAAGACGAUAUAUUUAAUGGGAUUACUGCUCAUAUAAUGUUCUCAGUGACUGAUUUGGAAUCUAAGCUCAGGGAACAGAAUACCGAAUUUCCAGCUCUUUGAGAGUUAAUGUUGUGUUAAGGAAAAGUACAAUUUGAACCUCAUUGUUCAUGAAUAGCGAAGUUAUUCCGGUGAAAUGGAGCCGGUGCCUACAAGGGCUACACGAGGCAGAUGCAUGAGCGGGAGCGCAGACAGCGGCAUUCCUGCGAGCGCUCGGCUACAGAUAUCCCCGCACCUGAACUCCUGGCAAGUUCAAGGCAAUUGCGUAUCUCAUCACAACAUAAUGGCCCUUUAUUCAGCCCCCGUCUCCCAAGUGGGAUCAAUUAGAUGCUUUGGUCUGCAGGCUUGAGAAUAAACAUUUGUGUUUUCGUUUAUAUUUAGAGUGAAAAUGAAGACGCGUGGCCACAGCCGUUCUGCCCGCGUCCGUCGUGUUUUGAAACAAAGGUUUAAUCAGCUCUUUCAAAAUAUUGAUUGCCUUUUUAAUAGGAAAAGGUAGAAAGUUAAAUGACAGCAAGCUCUGGGGAAAAAUGCAAUAGCCCUGCACAGAACAUUUCAGUGCGCCAAUAAAUCUCGCAUUAGCGUCUAUCUUCUCAUUAAGGCAAAUAUAUUUCUAUGUGUCAAUUUGGUUCACUACAAUGUUAGAGUUUCACUCCUAACACAGGAUUUCUCUAAUGAAUAUGGUAAUUUAAAUCUUAUGAUCAGAGUACUACUUUUAUAGAAAUUUGAACAUUUUUUUGUUUAAAUGCUAUUAACCGUUUCAAUAUUAGCUCAGUCAAAUAGCUAUUAGAUGGGGAAAUUUAUAUUCUCACUAUAAGGAAUGGAUGUGUAAUUCUACAGUGCUUCUACAUUCUAACACUUUUUUAAAGUACUUGACAAGUAGAAUGGUGAUUCGUGUUUAACGUGUUCGAUUUUAAAAUUUAACCAGCAUUCUAAAGCUCUGGUGAGUUCAAAUGCCUUAACAUUUUUAUUUAUGAUUGUAAUUUUAUUUUUAAGCAUUGAUAAAGUGAAGUCUUAAAAAUCUAACUGGAUAAGAACAUUUAGAUGACAGUGGUUCACCAGGACACAAGUGGGAAAGGGAAAGAAAAUCCCAUGGAGAGAAGGAAACUCUUAUAUACCUGCAUGCAUCUUCCUAAGAUAUGACACAAAAUACUACUGAAGUGAUACUUGCCUUGUUUUGAUCUUGAUUUGGGGGGGAGGUUGUUUGGUUUUGAAUGACCUGUCAAACUGAGAGUUGUGCCAAGGCAACCUUGGCAUCUGAUGUUUUACAUGGCUGCUACGUUACAAGUAUUCCAUUCCAAGUAUUUUAGUCCUUGAAUAAAUUGCUCUUAUUAAGCUAAUUUUGGAUCCAUUCUGUUUAUGAAUGCAUAAAAAUAUUCCUGACUGUUUUCCAGGCUUUUCAAGACAACUAUGAGAUGUACCCUAUGAUGUGAGCAAUCACUAAACAGACUACAACAGAUUAAUAGUUCACAGAAACCUCUUAAAACAUCCUAAGCUCAUAAAUUUGUAAAGAGUUUGUGAUCUUGAGUUAUUAUAUUCUAUGAUUUUCCAGCAAAGGAAUUUGAAUCGUGCCUUUAUAUUCCUGUCCUGUAGCAAAAUAUGCUUGUUUCCAGCCAGGGCUUUCACUGAUGUAAACACAGAUACUGGUGUUCCUGGAUUGAACAGCAAUGCAACCCUACGAGGGGGAAUUCCAUAGCUGAGAGAGAGCUUUUUUUUCUCAGUAUGUGUCAUGGAAAAGAAAAACACGAUCAUUUAACAACUUUCUUCCAAGCAUGAGCGCGUCUUUGAGUUUACAAAGUCAGGUUUUUGUGAUGAAGAGCUUUCAUUCAUAGGUAUUUCUUUAAAAAAAAAAAAAAUACAACCAGUUGUGGAACUAGCAAGAUGAUGGUUAUGAGUGCACAGCAAUAUCCCAUGUCCAGGAACUGCAUCUGCAGCAUCAGAGUGCAGGAUGAAGAGCAUUUCAGGAAGGUAGGAUUCAAUGAACCCACGGCAGUUUGUCAGGAACUCUACAACAAGUAGUCCCAGUGCUUUUCUUUCAUAUUGAAUACAUGGAAUUAGUGCUCUUAGUGCACAGAGAGAGCAGGAAGAUAACAAACUACUGCUUGGACAAAGCAGAUUUGACCUACAUAUAGGAGUGGACGCAGCCAGGGGUGGAGCUUCUGAUUGAAUGGUGUUGGCAUCAGUUGUGGUUGGGAAUUUUGCAAACAGUUACAACAGCAGUGAAGAACUUAUUACAAAUAAGUCCCGUAAGUCUGGAUAUUCUGCUGUUCACGAGAAAUAUAAAAUGAGUGCAGACUGGUGGAACUUAGAUGAAACCAUGCCCAAGACAUAAGAACACACCGUCUGUCAGAACGGAAGUACUUUACAAGUCAAGCGUUGCCAGCCAGAACAUCUGAAAAUGUUUUGACAGUAUCAGAAUGUAUCUUUUGGAAUGAACUGAUAAUGCUGUUUUGUCUUCCAAUCCAACUUUUUUUUUCUCUCAGCUUUCUGUUUUACUGAAAGAAUAAGUGGAACUGAAGCUAAGGGUGGCAGAACACGUGUGUAAAUUAGAUUAAUUUUUCUCCUAGUUGCAGAAAGCAGAAUAGUUUCUAGUUUAUCUUGACAGAUGCAUUUCACAACUAUCUUCUAUCUUAUGCCUUCAAUCCAGAGAGAGGUGAGAAAAAUACAGUGCUGUCCUAUUGAAAAGGCAAUAUCUAAAACUACUCAGCAGUUUGUUGCUGCAUUAGUCCAAGAAUAAUUUAAUUCUGUACUAACAGCAAUUUAGAAAGCACGAAAACGAAGCUAGAACAUUUCUAAACUCAUUGUUCGCUACACACGUUGAUUAACAGUGCUCUGCAGGAAUUAAUUGAUCCAAGGGCAGGAUCUGGCACUACGGCAGCAACGCUCUUCUUGCAGUGCUCAUAUGAGGUGACUGCACUCACAGCUCCUCAGACUGUGCUACGAAUUGUUUUUCAAACACAUCAUCUGUCCUUGCAGAGAGCCGCUGGAGAUCCUCAGACCAGGCCUGAGCACAGCUAGGUAUUGGCUGUUUCAAUUACAGCUCAAAUACAUCACGCAGAUGGAGGAGUGCAUUGGGCAUGCAUUUGGCAUCCCAGGGCAGAUGGCUUUUCCCAAAAUGAGAGCCUGUGGAAAGCUGUUUUCAUCUUCCCAAGCUUCUGGCCUGAUGGACUUCAGCACAAAUGCGUUUCCAAAUAAUGAAUCUGCAGUUCACUUUCUGGCCGAGGUGAACGAGCACACGUUAACUCAUUCAGAAAGGAGAUGAAAAGCUCACAUUCAGGAUGCAUUAAUCUGAAAACAAGUGUACUUUUGUGUCUGGGGAGUAUUAUUUUCAUUGCCAUCAAUUUAGAACAUAGAUAGACUGUGAUUCUAGCUUCACUAUCAGGUUGCCCCACAGGCUGAGACCCCUCACCAGGCCAUUCUAUUUAAUUUAGACUAAUCUAAAGCUGAGUGAAACUUUGUACCCUCUCUGAUUUCUCCCUAUAAUCAGGAACACUCUGAUUUCCCCUUCCCCCAUGACCCAGUCUGAGUGGCUGGGAGAUGGGGGAGAGGUACUCAGGAAAGCGACCUCCAGGUAAAGGCAGCAGCUAUUUGUGCCAGCCUGUCUGCUUGCCUAAUAACAGGUGGCAAACAUGUCCAACCAUAUCAUCCCUAGCUCUUGUUCUGUUUGAAUUUCUCUUUACUUUACACACAAUUCUUGGGAAGGCGUAAUCCUUUACACUUUUGCAUGUGAGUUUUUCAAGGCAUUGCACAUGUCAGCGGAGAUAAAUCUCCCAUGGAAGAGGCUGAAAUCCUAAUGCUGUUCUUCCACCAUUAUGCUCCUAGGUUUGGGUGGAAUUUGAUGGGGCAGAGGUUGUGCCCUAUAGUUUUAAUGUUGGGGUGUUUUUGGUCAGUGUUGUUUUGUCUGUGUUAAGAGGCAUCGAUAUGCACAAGAGAAUCUGUUUUGGACAGUAUCCAAGGUCAAAAAGGAUUCAGCAGCUUUGGCAAAAUGUUCCCUUCUGUCUGUGGUUUACAGAUUCAUCCAUAUGUGAGAUCUUAAAGAAGUAUCUUUCACUCUCUGUUGCUAUCAUCUCUGAUAAUUAGACUUGGCUUUGCUGCUUUCUCUCUCUCCCCAUCUUUCUUUUGUUUUAAACACCACAUGACUGCUUUCAGUGGAUAAGGCAAGUGGAGAAGAAAAGGAUCCAGUAGUGGCCCUCAACUGGCAGGCACUCAGCAAGCAAAUCAGCAGGUUCCCCUGCUAAAGAACCAUGCUGACAUCUAGUUAAUGUUCUUAUUUGCUAAAGUAAUGAGACUCAACCUGCCUGUGACUCUCAAUCUUUUACAAACCAAAAUUUGUAGUCUUUGCUCAUAGGCAAGAAAAAAAAUGAUCUGCAGUAGCCCCAAGUUUAAAUCAGCAAAUUUGUUUCGUAAACAGCAGAAGUACCCGGGGUGCAGUUCUCUGGGGGGAGCUCAGGUGCGAUGGGCUCUUCCAGUCCACUCCUCUUCUGGCAGUUGUUCAGUUUGUCGCAUACCUAAAUAUGCCAAGUGUAACCCACAGCAGGAGGGGGUUGUCAGAGGACAAAUAUAAUUUUUAUUCUCCUCUCUGAUGUAACUGUGGGUCAGUCAUCUCGUGGUCCUCACAGAUGAUUGGUUCACUGGUAUUAUUUAUCUCAUUUUGGUCCAACAACAGAGACCAUAGACACUCAUAACUUCCCCUUGAAGCAACCAUUCUACUAAUUAAAAUGAAAAGCGCCUGAUUCUGUUUCUCCUAAAAAUAUAAUUCUUUUUCUGAUUAGAGAUGCAAUUUAAAAAAAAAAAAAAAAGGCAAAAAUGGGUAUCUUAUUUUUGUCUGUUGGCUCACAAAACCUGCAUGAACACGAGUUUUAUGUGUGUGAAACUGCCAAAUUGGAGCCAGGGUAGAAACUCUCAAGGGUCUGAAUGUUGAGCAAAAGAGAUAGAUGAAACAGCUGAGUUACUGAACUGAGAAACAUAUGUGCUGUACUUACACAUUUACCAGCGCUCUAAAGAUUUUCUGAUAUGUGGCUGCUCUCUUGAAAAUUAUUUACAUGGCAUUCUGGAGUUGUUCCCACAGAUAUGAUUCCAUUUUGAUCUGCCAAUUACAUUAUGUGCUGUUGCAAAGAAGUUUGUAAAUGAGUCUUUGUUCCUUAGAUGGAAAGCGUUUUGAAGGAGUUCUACCAGCCUGAUGGCAAAUCAUGAACGUCAAAAAUGAGGCUGUCUAAAAAUACAUUAGAGGUUGAUGUAAACAUUGCUGGUAUCAGAGGAGAUGGUUACCAUCAACUUUUGGGAAUGCUGAAUCUGAUGUCCCUUUACAAACACCGAGUUGCUCGGGACAGACCUCCUCCUUCAUGAUGCCCAUGGAAAUCACUGCAGAUUUGACAGCUCUGGCUCCUGGUAACUCCUGUGGGCUCCUCGAGUCCAUAGCAAGGACAGCUGCCCAAAGCCAAGGUUCACCCUCAUGGGAGGUGGGUACAGAAAAAAAGUCUGCUGUUCAGCUGGACCAGGAAGAGAAGUGGAGAAGUUUUCAGUGGCAUUUUCAGAGGUGUUUCACAGCCAGGAGUGUUACAGGAGUGGAAGACCUUGUGCUUUUGAUAAGUCUGUGCCACAGUGGGAUUCUGGCAUCCCUUAGAUGAGACAAGCUUCGAAGGACAUUGCUAACCUCCAUUAGAAGUGUUUAAUUCGUUCCCCCAUUACCUUCCAAAAAGAAUACUACAUAUGGAAGAUGAUGUUCCACUUUCUAAAAGAUUUCCUCUUCUGAUGCUGGUUGAGAAGUGUGUAACUAUGGACAGCACCUUCGGACUGUGAAGUGGUUCUUGCACCUGCUCUUUGCUUUGUUUUUGGAGUAGCCACGGGGGACCAAGGAGCAGAGCUCUUCCCUCCGUUCCCUCUGUGUUAUUCCAUCAUCUCCUGUAAUUUUGCUGUCAGCAUUUGUUCUGCCACACAACAGCCUGUGACUGUCCUGCAGACCUCAGGGGAGCAUCCCUGGUACCCACAGCUUUUUUCCCGUCUGCUGGCAAAUUAUAGCAUGGUGCUUGCUCUGAAAAGUUAUAUGACUGGGAUUAUACAUUUACAGUUCCCCAAGCUGUACACCGUGUGAUUAAUAGAAUUAUUUACUUAUUUACUAUGAUGAAAUGCACUGCAAUAUGUUUGCAAGACGGACCAGAUCCAAAACCCACUGAAGACGCCCAUGAGCCCUGAGGAAUCACAUUGCCUUGCAGCCACUGUACAGCCAUGAAAACCAGCUGAAAACAAAACCGAGCCUCUUCGGAGAAAGCCCCACAAGUGACCUCUUCAGCAAAGUGGACAAAGAUUUACAUUGGCUUCUCUUCUCCCCGGCUAUCACUUACACUACAUGCACACUGUUGUUCCUCCUGCCUGUGCCAUUGUACUUCCCUUCUAACCUGUUUUCAACCUGCAAAGGCUUUUGCAAGGAAGUCAGCACACAGCAAUGGGAUAGAGACGUUCCUGCUCAGCACUGGAACUUCUGGAGAUGAUAAACACAAGCAACUCAUCCCCAGCUCCAUCCUGAGCACCUUCAGCAUUGCCACUCAGCACCUCAAAAUUGUGUGCGUCCAAUGCCAACUGUCCACCAUGGCAAAGGAACAAGACAUUUGCUCCAAGUUUCAGUGUUAAUAAAGAAGGUGAAUCUUUCACACCAGUGGUUGCAGAUGUCAUGCACUUGCCUCCUGCUAUUUGGAUCCACUGUGCUGCAGAGAGUGAACCAGGCAAACCCACCUGUAGAGGAGGGCAGGGAAAGUGAAAUCCCGAGCACCAAGCAGAGUCUUGCUGGAGACCACCGAGGAGACACAGCAUCAGCAAUUGCUGACAAAGCCCAUUGCACCAUCAGAACCAAGCCAAGGAUGAAAGAACGUGACACCAAUCUGUAUUUCCAGCAACCUUUGUUGGAAAGGUGGUCUGCACUCAUGAAUACUGUUGUUAUACCUACAGCCCCCAAAGAGCAACCUACUUGAGCUGUGACAGAGCUGCUCAUAUAACCAAGGGUAUAUGGUUAUGUAGCCUGUCUGGGGAUGUAAGCACAUUUACCUGUAGACUAAAGGAGAUGACCGAAUCCUUGUAAAUGAGCACAAAACAUCGCGAUGCCUAUGCCUUCAAACACCAAAGGAUGAGCAUGAACAGUGUCUCUAGAGCCACUCCAGACUCUAGACACUCAGCACUAGGUGUCCUGUGCUGAGAUACGACUACUGCUACUGACCACAGCUCACGUGCACGUGUCACAGGACCAGUCAAGGUCGUAAACUUAAGCAUAUUUAUAUCUCUUGGUAGGAACACAGCUGUAAUUAUAUUUUGGGUGUUUCUUGCCUUCUUCAAUUGCUGCCAGUGCUGCUUGUUUGCUACAGCGUAACCCGUGGCAUAUUUUAUAGGUUUUCAACCUUUGCACACAAUGGAUUAGAAAGAAAGUCAAUUAUGCAUAAGAUUGAAAGAGUUAUGUAAAUAUAAAACCAAUAUAAUGUAUUAUUUACAUACAGCCUGUACUUACCCUAAGUAACUUCUGCAGAAACCUGGGCUAUCACAAACAGCUCACACCUAAUUUCUGAGCCCUAUUCCAGAAAAGAGGGGAGGAUUCUGGCUACCUUAAAUCAGUGCUAAUAUUUUCUAGAUGAGAGCAUAUUUGUAUAAGAACAUAACUCAACAUAACACGGAUGGACAACAAGCAGGAUAAAUCUCUAUCAUUUAUUACAUUUGCUGAGCGAUCAAAGGUGUCUAACUAGACAUUUUUCCUCAUUGGUUGUUUGCAUUAGAUAUGCAAAUCUCCUUUCUUGCAGAGCCAUUUCUGAAUAUAUUUGCGAGGCUAUUGAUGUCCAUUACUUCACUUAAAUAUAGAUCAGAAAUACUGACAAAUAUUUUCAUUCAAAGAGUUUGAUCAUUUUCAGAUUACUCUCCAUGCUAGUAAUUAACCUCAGUCAACACCCUUCCAUAGCACUUUCAAACACAGUUCCUAGCAAACAUAAAGUUUCAUAAAUAUGUACUAAAUAACCUUAAAGCCCUUUAUGAAUAAUUAUGAGUUUUUAAGUUUUUGUGAAUCUGCAUAUUAAUUCCACGCCAUAAAUAAUACAUGAAGCAAAAAUCCAGCUUGUUUGGUGUCUGGGGACAGAGAAAGAAAAGGAGGGGAUAAUUAUCAGUUUAAUGUGGGAAAAUACUUAACCUAAAAGAUUAUCUUCAAAACUGAUGACUCUAUAGGUUUGUAUAUACGUGUGUGUAUAAAUACAUAUAAGUAUAUAAAAUAUACGUGUAUGAAGAUAGGUUUGUCUGCAGAUACGCAUCCAGCCUGAGAAAGCCUUAAUUUGAGGCAUGUUACAUUCCUGUCUCCUCUGUGCCAUGCUGAGCUCUUCAAGUGCAAAGCGAUGCGAUGAGCUCAGCCUCCACACAACCCUUCUUUCUAUAAACGUAUGUUCCCCCAAAGGUAGAAAAUUAAUGAGAGGCUGCUGACUAAAAUUACUACAUUUUGCCUUCUGUGGGACAUUAUGGAUUUAAAAGAUAAGCAAGAGUGCAGCAAGUCCAAAAACAAUUUCAUUUCGUUAAUCCUUUAAGUGCCUCGGGAUGAGCAGCACAUGUCCAGCAAAGGUGAUGCUUCUGCAUGCCUAUUGCACAGCAGUACUUGCACACUCUGCUUCUCGGCUCCACAUGGAAGGCAUCCAGUGGGGUGGGAUGAUGUAUGGCUGAAUGGUCUUAGGCUGACACUUCCUGGAUGCUCGCUGACAGUAAUAGGAAACGUAAGCGGUGUGCAGAGACAGCUCGUAGGUAAAGCAGGGAGUGUGAAUAGGAUUUUUCCUCUUUAUUCCGUACAGCUUACAGCAAAGAAAAGGCAUUUUCUGCUCAAAUGUCUUUGAACAAAACAAAGUGGAAACUAUUAUGUUUCAAAACCAGGACCCGGGAACAUAUUCCAUGUUUGCCUUUGUCAAAAGAGUACAACGAUUUAUAGUUUGGGAAGAAAAUCAUUGCAUUCCAAUUUUAUAUUUUUCAAUAAGGGACUCCAUUUAUUUUUUACAUAUUAAUCCACCUCCAUAAUGAAAAUAGAUUUCACUUCUCAUUUCAAGUCCUUCAGAUCUAUUUCACUUCCCGGUCAUGCUCAGCGCUUGGCUAGGAGAAUGAAAGGCAGUAUUUCAAAUAAUAGCAACUCAAUAGCAAGCCUGUUCUCUCGGUUUUAAUGCAGAAAGAAGAAAAGAUAAACCAAAUUUGUACAAGAAUCUUCAGAGAUAGGAGCACUCCCUUGUUCUGACGCCAUUUCCCAGCCCUGCAGCAUCAGGAGAGCAGUGCUGUUGGUGCGGGGGUGCUGCCGGGAGCAGGGUGAGGGGAUGGGGAAAGGAUCCCACAGAAGCGGCUGAAUCCAAAGCUCAACUUAAAACUGCUCAGAAAGAUUCCAGGAGGGGGUGAGGGGCUGCUGGAGGUGCCGGCAGCACUGUCUCGUCACGGCAGCCUGCUAAUUAACCGUGAUGGGUUUUAAAGCCUCAGCUGGAAGCAGCUUCUGGAGAAACGGAUGGAGCACCCAGGUUUGUUUUGUAUCCAAAAAGGGGGACACAGAGUUGAAAAGAAUUGUUGUAAAGGCCUGCAUCAGUGUUAUUCUGCAUCCGUCUGCUUUGCGUACCGUUUGCUAGGAAUUUAUAAAGUAACAUACAUUCAGUAUGAAGGAAAAAAAAAACAAACAACAGAUCUUUAAAAUAUUGAACUGUGGCUGCUGUGCCUCGUGGAAAGGUACAGGCUUCUCGUCCGGGAGUUGCAUUGUGUGGAUGCAAACCUGUUGAUGAGUGGUUUAAGCUAAUUCUCAUUUAUACUGGACUCAUAAAUCCAUAAACUUCGGUAAGAACUCAGCUGCAGCCGAUGUUAUUGGUUGAACUGUUUUCAUCUGAAGCCCAUUCUGAAUCCCCAACAAAAAUAGUAGGCCAGAUGCCCAGACAGCAGCUAGAGACCCUCAUUAGGCAUCAUUUGCAUCCUAUUAACCACUGAGCUGUGGGUCAUUCGCUGCCUGUCAACCAUUCAAGUCAUUCCUUUUGUGUUAAUUAGUAGAGAAAUAAGGAGUUAAUGAAGAUCUUAUGAUCUGUGAUGAUUCAUCUUUGUUGUUUCAAACGAAUCCCUGCUCUCCGAGCACCCCAAUGAGCUCCUGCACACCAAAUAAUAGAGGAAUAGUGGAGGGAGCUUAGGGCGGCCUUUGGAGUGCCAUUCUCUGGGGACCUUUUGCAUGGUGGGCUUUGUUAGCUAAAGAUUAGAAGGAGUUAAUUGCUUCAAGAUUGCUCGCAGAUUAGGUUACAUGGUGUGUUGUAUCUAUGUAAGCAUAUGUCAGGUCUAGUUAAAAGAUAGAAGAUGCUUAUUUUAAUAAAAUUAUGAAAGGAAGAAUUAAUUUGUCAUUAUUGUAGAAAUCUUAUUUCUACCCUUAAUUUGAGCACUUUCAGAUAAAUGCAGGGCUGGUUUCCGUCUCAUUUUCCUGCUCCAAAUGGGAACGCUGGGCAGGAGGGCUCCCAGGCUGGGUCCCAGUUUUCCUGCCCAUUCUGGGGACAGCACAGCAUGGCUGUGGAAAGACACAGAUGGAAAACCCAAAUCAACAGACAAGCAGUAAGAGCAGCUCUUCUUCUUCAGGAAUUUUCUUUAGGAAGAAAUGAUUCCUCUUUUCACACUAGUUCUGGUGAAGGCAUUCUCACAGCCAGCAAGCUGACAACAAAGUUCCACAACAG